ensembl:snRNA
GUGCUGUAUGAGAAGAAAGAAGGUUAGCACUCCCUUGUUAAAGAUGGAAGCGGCCCUCAGGCCUAACAACACGUACACUGUAAAGGCAUUGCCACCUGCUCUGUAGCAUCUAACCACUGUUUUUU